rfam:Brachypodium distachyon strain Bd21 chromosome 4, whole genome shotgun sequence.
UGCAGAUACGGAGGUCAGGAAUUCUACUGGUUUAACUAAAUUUCAUUCGACAAGACAAAGUAAAAAAACUCUUUCAAUUAUGUCGAAUGUUUUUAGUGGAAAAUCAGUCGGAUUUCUCACCUUCAAAUCUGCAUC